UACGGAGGGUGCAAGCGUUGCUCGGAAUUAUUGGGCGUAAAGGGCAAGUAGGUGGUCUCGUUUGUCUGGGGUGAAAGCCUUGAGCUUAACUCAAGAAGUGCCCCAGAAACGGCGAGACUCGAGUACUGGAGAGGGUCGUGGAAUUCCCGGUGUAGCGGUGAAAUGCGUAGAGAUCGGAAGGAACGCCGGUGGCGAAAGCGGCGGACUGGGCACCUCCUGACGCUGAGGCGCGAAAGCCAGGGGAGCAAACAGG
rnacentral:rRNA from 1 species